rnacentral:rRNA from 1 species
GUCCGGGGGGACCAGCAAGUGUUGGGCUAUCUCCUCAACAACCUCACCAAGGAGGUCCUGCUGCAGGUGACCACGGUCACCAUGGUGAGCACAUUCUAGACGACGCUCACAGGUAUGUUCUCCUCGCAGUCUUUGAGCCGUGUCAAUAACAUUCCCAUGGCCCUGCUCAACGCACAGAAGGGCACCCAAUCGGUGGCCACCUUCUUCGCCCACAUGCGCGGCCUCGCUGAUGAGCUGGCGGCCGUCAGCAAGCCUCUCCAAGAUGACAAGCUGAUCUCCUACAUCCUUCACGACCUCGACAAGGAGUGCCAGCCCUCGGUCUCUGCCCUCGACGUCUGCACCACCUCGGUCUCCCUCGAUGAACUCUUCGCCAUGCUCAGCAACUUCGACCAGCGGGUGGCCCUGUACCAGGGGACGGGCGGCUUCAAAUCUUCUGCAAACGCCGCGACUCGUGGCCAUGGCGGCUACUCCUCUCGCCACCGUGGUCCUCCUCACUCCACGGGCAGGCCUGGCGGUAGCGGAGGCUAA